AUGUACAAUGCCUUCACCAACGAGCUGGACAACCUGACAUCUUUUCAGGUUAACUGGUGGCUGUAUCACGAUAGAGCUUGGGGGUUCGAGCUGAACGAGAUGUGCGAGCGGGACCGCCUUCUCUUCUGGUGCAUUGUCUCGCUGAUAUGCGUGCACGCCGUUGAAUGGCACCUACCACAACGCGUGGCGACACAAUUUGUGGUAUUGCAACACACACCACCGGCAAGGCCCCACGACACCGGCGGUUACGACCUUCACAAGAAGAGCAGGCGGUAUUCUCAGUCGAUAUUGGACUGGGCUGACGAGCACAAAUCUUUUGUGACAAUGUGGGACGAGAGGACGUUCCGCAAAGAUGGAGAGAGGUUAGGCAUUUUCUGGAAUGUGUAUGAGAGGCACAUGAAUUGGUAUGACGAUGGCAUCAAGUUUCGUCUGCGUCUGAGGCCACGAUGGACGGAAGCGUACAUGACAUCACUUCAGGAGGAGGAGGACUCUGAGGAUGAAGCAUACAAGAGAAACCUCAGAGAUAUGCAAGGCCGCAGAGCUAAACAAAAACAUUUUCGACGGCUCGAGUGCGCUAAGUUCUGA
rnacentral:rRNA from 1 species